AUUGAACGCUGGCGGCAGGCCUAACACAUGCAAGUCGAACGGUAACAGAAAGCAGCUUGCUGCUUUGCUGACGAGUGGCGGACGGGUGAGUAAUGUCUGGGAAACUGCCUGAUGGAGGGGGAUAACUACUGGAAACGGUAGCUAAUACCGCGUAACGUCGCAAGACCAAAGAGGGGGACCUUCGGGCCUCUUGCCAUCGGAUGUGCCCAGAUGGGAUUAGCUAGUAGGUGGGGUAACGGCUCACCUAGGCGACGAUCCCUAGCUGGUCUGAGAGGAUGACCAGCCACACUGGAACUGAGACACGGUCCAGACUCCUACGGGAGGCAGCAGUGGGGAAUAUUGCACAAUGGGCGCAAGCCUGAUGCAGCCAUGCCGCGUGUAUGAAGAAGGCCUUCGGGUUGUAAAGUACUUUCGGCGGGGAGGAAGGGAGUAAAGUUAAUACCUUUGCUCAUUGACGUUACCCGCAGAAGAAGCACCGGCUAACUCCGUG
rnacentral:rRNA from 1 species